UAGAACUUAGAGCACCACAAAACAACCUACUCAGUCUACGUGUUUAUUACGACAAGUUAGAGGCAUAUAUAAGAGGUCUUGAAUCGUUAGGCCGCUCCGGAGAAUCGUAUGGUGCAUUACUUAUUCCGAUAAUACUGAACAAGCUUCCAUCAGAAAUACGACAACACUUAGCUCGUGAAAACAGUUCCGAUAAUUGGGAAUUGAUUGAUUUGAGACGUGGAAUUUUGAAAGAAAUCACUAUAAUUGAAGCUGGACAACGUUCGUCGUCGUUUAUGGAUUCAAUGCAGCCUACCACAAUAGCCGCAUCGUUUUUGACAUGCGCUAAUAGAAAAUGUGAACCGAGUAAAGUAGUUACAUUCGAUAACCGUGAGAGACAAACACAAAAUAUUCGACAAAAACCUUGCAUAUUCUGCCAGAAUUUACAUGACCCUGCAAAAUGCCCAAAUGUUACAGAUCACGAUACACGCCUAUCAAUCGUCAAAGAAAAGAAGUUAUGUUUUAACUGUUUAGGAUCACACCGUUCCGUAGAUUGUAAAUCGAAAUUUCGCUGCCGCCAGUGCCAUCAAAAGCACCACACAAGUCUUUGCCAUGGAAAUACCUGUACUAACGAUCAGCAAAUGUCAGUUAAUGCCGUAGUUGAUGAUAGCGAAAAUACAUUGAUCGCCGCAAGUUUUCAUUCGUCUGAAGAAAAAUCCCGUUCGAACGUGCUUCUAAAAACUGCCGUUGCACCAGUUGGGGGAAAUCGAUAUGUUGAUACGCACAUUUUGUUUGAUG
rnacentral:lncRNA from 1 species